AACCCCCACCGCCACGACAUCCUCCACGCCUCUGCACGGCGCGACGGUUCAUUGUUGUAGCUCAUGUGCUCGGCCCAGCAAUCCCACUUCCACACGCGAUCGGCUACCGGCUAGGCUCGAUGGCGCUGUUCCACCUUGGCUACCUCGACUCCGAUGUGACGGUUCAUGCCAAAAUUUCUUACAUAUUCAUCUUUGGGAGAAAGAUCAAGGCAUAUAGUGGGCUACUUCUGCAAAAGGAGGGAAGCAACAUAUUGCAUUUAAAGUGAAGCUUCCUCUAUGAUAUGGAGAUGCAAUCAUCCAUCUAAAGACAAGGUAUGCUCAUUUCUCUAUUGUGUGAAUUCAACAUGGCUGAGCAACAAUUUAUUUGCUCAUACUUUUUUCAAUAUUAAUGCUUAUUGCAGUUCCUGCUUAGCUUGGGAAAUCCAAAGAAGAAUGUUGCCCUUGCUACACUCCAGAGUACUGAUCUAUAAUAUAAAAC